GUGGGGAAUAUUGGACAAUGGGCGCAAGCCUGAUCCAGCCAUGCCGCGUGAGUGAUGAAGGCCCUAGGGUUGUAAAGCUCUUUCAGUGGGACGAUAAUGACGGUACCCACAGAAGAAGCCCCGGCUAACUUCGUGCCAGCAGCCGCGGCAAUACGAAGGGGGCUAGCGUUGUUCGGAUUUACUGGGCGUAAAGCGCACGUAGGCGGAUCGUUAAGUCGAGGGUGAAAUCCUGGAGCUCAACUCCAGAACUGCCUUCGAUACUGGCGAUCUUGAGUCCGGAAGAGGUGAGUGGAACUCCUAGUGUAGAGGUGGAAUUCGUAGAUAUUAGGAAGAACACCAGUGGCGAAGGCGGCUCACUGGUCCGGUACUGACGCUGAGGUGCGAAAGCGUGGGGAGCAAACAGGAUUAGAAACCCCAGUAGUCC
rnacentral:rRNA from 1 species